rnacentral:rRNA from 1 species
GGGUUGUGAGGUUAAGCGACUAAGCGUACACGGCGGAUGCCCUGGCAGUCAGAGGCGAUGAAGGACGUGCUAAUCUGCGAAAAGCGUCGGUAAGGUGAUAUGAACCGUUAUAACCGGCGAUGUCCGAAUGGGGAAACCCAGUGCAAUUCGUUGCACUAUCGUUAACUGAAUACAUAGGUUAACGAGGCGAACCGGGGGAACUGAAACAUCUAAGUACCCCGAGGAAAAGAAAUCAACCGAGAUUCCCCCAGUAGCGGCGAGCGAACGGGGAGCAGCCCAGAGUCUGAAUCAGCUUGUGUGUUAGUGGAACGGUCUGGAAAGUCCGACGGUACAGGGUGAUAGUCCCGUACACCAAAAUGCACAGGCUGUGAACUCGAAGAGUAGGGCGGGACACGUGGUAUCCUGUCUGAAUAUGGGGGGACCAUCCUCCAAGGCUAAAUACUCCUGACUGACCGAUAGUGAACCAGUACCGUGAGGGAAAGGCGAAAAGAACCCCGGCGAGGGGAGUGAAAAAGAACCUGAAACCGUGUACGUACAAGCAGUGGGAGCACCUUCGGGUGUGACUGCGUACCUUUUGUAUAAUGGGUCAGCGACUUAUAUUCUGUAGCAAGGUUAACCGUAUAGGGGAGCCGCAGGGAAACCGAGUCUUAACUGGGCGUUAAGUUGCAGGGUAUAGACCCGAAACCCGGUGAUCUAGCCAUGGGCAGGUUGAAGGUUGGGUAACACUAACUGGAGGACCGAACCGACUAAUGUUGAAAAAUUAGCGGAUGACUUGUGGCUGGGGGUGAAAGGCCAAUCAAACCGGGAGAUAGCUGGUUCUCCCCGAAAGCUAUUUAGGUAGCGCCUCGUGAACUCAUCUUCGGGGGUAGAGCACUGUUUCGGCUAGGGGGUCAUCCCGACUUACCAACCCGAUGCAAACUACGAAUACCGAAGAAUGUUAUCACGGGAGACACACGGCGGGUGCUAACGUCCGUCGUGAAGAGGGAAACAACCCAGACCGCCAGCUAAGGUCCCAAAGUCAUGGUUAAGUGGGAAACGAUGUGGGAAGGCACAGACAGCCAGGAUGUUGGCUUAGAAGCAGCCAUCAUUUAAAGAAAGCGUAAUAGCUCACUGGUCGAGUCGGCCUGCGCGGAAGAUGUAACGGGGCUAAACCAUGCACCGAAGCUGCGGCAGCGACACUAUGUGUUGUUGGGUAGGGGAGCGUUCUGUAAGCCUGCGAAGGUGACCUGUGAGGGUUGCUGGAGGUAUCAGAAGUGCGAAUGCUGACAUAAGUAACGAUAAAGCGGGUGAAAAGCCCGCUCGCCGGAAGACCAAGGGUUCCUGUCCAACGUUAAUCGGGGCAGGGUGAGUCGACCCCUAAGGCGAGGCCGAAAGGCGUAGUCGAUGGGAAACAGGUUAAUAUUCCUGUACUUGGUGUUACUGCGAAGGGGGGACGGAGAAGGCUAUGUUAGCCGGGCGACGGUUGUCCCGGUUUAAGCAUGUAGGCUGAUUGUCCAGGCAAAUCCGGAUAAUCAAGGCUGAGGUGUGAUGACGAGGCACUACGGUGCUGAAGUAACAAAUGCCCUGCUUCCAGGAAAAGCCUCUAAGCAUCAGGUAACAUCAAAUCGUACCCCAAACCGACACAGGUGGUCAGGUAGAGAAUACCAAGGCGCUUGAGAGAACUCGGGUGAAGGAACUAGGCAAAAUGGUGCCGUAACUUCGGGAGAAGGCACGCUGGUGUGUAGGUGAAGUCCCUGCGGAUGGAGCUGAGACCAGUCGAAGAUACCAGCUGGCUGCAACUGUUUAUUAAAAACACAGCACUGUGCAAACACGAAAGUGGACGUAUACGGUGUGACGCCUGCCCGGUGCCGGAAGGUUAAUUGAUGGGGUUAUCCGUAAGGAGAAGCUCUUGAUCGAAGCCCCGGUAAACGGCGGCCGUAACUAUAACGGUCCUAAGGUAGCGAAAUUCCUUGUCGGGUAAGUUCCGACCUGCACGAAUGGCGUAAUGAUGGCCAGGCUGUCUCCACCCGAGACUCAGUGAAAUUGAACUCGCUGUGAAGAUGCAGUGUACCCGCGGCAAGACGGAAAGACCCCGUGAACCUUUACUAUAGCUUGACACUGAACAUUGAGCCUUGAUGUGUAGGAUAGGUGGGAGGCUUUGAAGCGUGGACGCCAGUCUGCGUGGAGCCAACCUUGAAAUACCACCCUUUAAUGUUUGAUGUUCUAACGUUGGCCCCUUAUCGGGGUUGCGGACAGUGUCUGGUGGGUAGUUUGACUGGGGCGGUCUCCUCCCAAAGCGUAACGGAGGAGCACGAAGGUUAGCUAAUCCUGGUCGGACAUCAGGAGGUUAGUGCAAUGGCAUAAGCUAGCUUGACUGCGAGCGUGACGGCGCGAGCAGGUGCGAAAGCAGGUCAUAGUGAUCCGGUGGUUCUGAAUGGAAGGGCCAUCGCUCAACGGAUAAAAGGUACUCCGGGGAUAACAGGCUGAUACCGCCCAAGAGUUCAUAUCGACGGCGGUGUUUGGCACCUCGAUGUCGGCUCAUCACAUCCUGGGGCUGAAGUAGGUCCCAAGGGUAUGGCUGUUCGCCAUUUAAAGUGGUACGCGAGCUGGGUUUAGAACGUCGUGAGACAGUUCGGUCCCUAUCUGCCGUGGGCGCUGGAGAAUUGAGGGGGGCUGCUCCUAGUACGAGAGGACCGGAGUGGACGCAUCACUGGUGUUCGGGUUGUCAUGCCAAUGGCACUGCCCGGUAGCUAAAUGCGGAAGAGAUAAGUGCUGAAAGCAUCUAAGCACGAAACUUGCCCCGAGAUGAGUUCUCCCUGAGACUUUAAGUCUCCUGAAGGAACGUUAAAGACGAUGACGUUGAUAGGCCGGGUGUGUAAGCGCAGCGAUGCGUUGAGCUAACCGGUACUAAUGAACCGUGAGGCUUAACCUUACAACGCCGAAG